GUGGGGAAUAUUGGACAAUGGGCGCAAGCCUGAUCCAGCCAUACCGCGUGGGUGAAGAAGGCCUUCGGGUUGUAAAGCCCUUUUGUUGGGAAAGAAAAGCAGUCGGUUAAUACCCGAUUGUUCUGACGGUACCCAAAGAAUAAGCACCGGCUAACUUCGUGCCAGCAGCCGCGGUAAUACGAAGGGUGCAAGCGUUACUCGGAAUUACUGGGCGUAAAGCGUGCGUAGGUGGUGGUUUAAGUCCGUUGUGAAAGCCCUGGGCUCAACCUGGGAAUUGCAGUGGAUACUGGGUCACUAGAGUGUGGUAGAGGAUAGUGGAAUUUCCGGUGUAGCAGUGAAAUGCGUAGAGAUCGGAAGGAACAUCUGUGGCGAAGGCGACUAUCUGGGCCAACACUGACACUGAGGCACGAAAGCGUGGGGAGCAAACAGGAUUAGAUACCCGUGUAGUCC
rnacentral:rRNA from 1 species